rnacentral:rRNA from 1 species
GGCGUGUGACUGCGUACCUUUUGUAUAAUGGGUCAGCGACUUAUAUUCUGUAGCAAGGUUAACCGAAUAGGGGAGCCGAAGGGAAACCGAGUCUUAACUGGGCGUUAAGUUGCAGGGUAUAGACCCGAAACCCGGUGAUCUAGCCAUGGGCAGGUUGAAGGUUGGGUAACACUAACUGGAGGACCGAACCGACUAAUGUUGAAAAAUUAGCGGAUGACUUGUGGCUGGGGGUGAAAGGCCAAUCAAACCGGGAGAUAGCUGGUUCUCCCCGAAAGCUAUUUAGGUAGCGCCUCGUGAAUUCAUCUCCGGGGGUAGAGCACUGUUUCGGCAAGGGGGUCAUCCCGACUUACCAACCCGAUGCAAACUGCGAAUACCGGAGAAUGUUAUCACGGGAGACACACGGCGGGUGCUAACGUCCGUCGUGAAGAGGGAAACAACCCAGACCGCCAGCUAAGGUCCCAAAGUCAUGGUUAAGUGGGAAACGAUGUGGGAAGGCCCAGACAGCCAGGAUGUUGGCUUAGAAGCAGCCAUCAUUUAAAGAAAGCGUAAUAGCUCACUGGUCGAGUCGGCCUGCGCGGAAGAUGUAACGGGGCUAAACCAUG